CUCGUCGCCACACACGCACGAGUCGUAGCAGCCAAACCCUUAGCCAUAUUUCCUCCACACCCACAGACGUGGCGGCGGCGGCCACCCACCAGGACGAGCUCGCCCAAGCUGAGAGCUUUCCCCCGCGUGGCCCGUGGUUGCCGACAGGAUCCUCGCUCCAAGGUGGGCCGUGAGGCCGGCCCCCCGACCCCGGCGACCCCGGCGCUCCUACGACUGUCACCCUUCCCCCCGGAUCCGGCCAAUGCGCCCUCCAUCGGCACCCUGCUCGCUCGCGUCGGAGUUGGGUACAAAGGCGACGGCGGCCUCGGUUGGUGGCCGUCCCGAUCUGUAGCAUCGGCUGCUCGGAGCUCCUGCUGGUGGCGUCCUCCGAGUGCAGCUCCUUCCGCAGCGCCGUCCCGAUCUGCAGCGCCGGCUGCUCCGAGUGCUGCCUCGUCGAGUUCGCCUCCCCGCGUCACGCGCGUGGUCGAGGCGGUUCGGUACCGGUGUCUGCACGCCGGUUAGGGGCCUACGGCCACCAGGAUGCGCCGGCGGCGACGUGAGCAACGGAUGCCAGAUGGUGCGUCUUCACGUCGUGCAGGAGGUGGAGUUGCUCGCCCCCAAGCGACCUCGACGCCGUCGCGUCGGCCUCGGCCUCCCACGGUUCUUGUUCCUCUGGUUUGCUUCAUGUCCUUGAGCAACUGCAUCAACAGCGGGAUCAACAAGGUGUACGUCCUCACCCAGUUCAACUCGGCCUCCCUCAACCGGCACCUCUCCAGGGCCUACAGUUUCAGCAAUGGCGUUGGCUUCGGAGACGGUUUCGUCGAGGUGUGAAACUCUGGAAUUCAGACUACAUGGAUUUGUUCAGAGUCAUCGGCAGAGAGACGUAGGCAUCAGCAUCUAUUGUUUACCUAUUGAUGAUAGAGCUUUUCAAGUUUGAUACCAAUCCCGGGUCUCUUUGGGGUGAGAUCAAUGCUAUCAUGGCCCUGGACUUUGGGCAUGAAGGGUGGGACCAAGGUGAAGGUGGACGAUCUGAUGGUGUUAUGAUGAGUUUCUUUUUUCUCAGGAUGUAUCUGUAAAACGUGGCUCUAGCUGGCCCCACCCUUGUAAUAUUGCUUAAUUAAUGUAAUAGUAACUAUAUGGUGAA